rnacentral:lncRNA from 1 species
CGCCUUGCAGGAGGCUCUGAGUUCAAAUCUCACGGACAAUAGUUGCCGAUUGAAAAAAAGUAAGUAGUUGAUUUCUUUUCAUGUCUUGAAUGGCAAGGGAAAAUAAAAGGAUGGUGUUAGUUUUGGUGAAGCAACUUGAGUGCUUGGUAGAUGUGGCAUGUGGGGGAUGCCGGUGAAGUCCCGCUUUUUCUUUUUCUAUUUACAUCACAUUUGAAGAGGUCAUGGGAAAGGCGUGAUAGAAUUUCUCAACACACACCAUGUGAAUUUUCCCUUUCUCCUAAUUUGAGAAGGGGGAUUCAUUCUCUCCAUUUCUUUUUAAAUCUGAUUGGUCAGAAUAAAUGAAAAUAAAUUAGUAUCAGAAUAUGGUUUGGUUUCUGGUAUGUAGAGAACAUAUAAUUAAGGGGGGCAGGUGGAGAAAUUGAAGUUUUGAAAUUGAAGAGAAAGGCUGGAAGGCAAGACUUUCAGCCAUUUUUCUGCAGAAGAGUUAAGAAUCUGUCAUGAGCAGAGGGGUAUGGGUCACUAUGAGUUGGCUGCGACAAUUUCUGUUUCUGUUUCUUUCUUUUUCUUCGUUUUCAGUUUUCGGUUUUGAGUCUUUUUCACACGAAUUAUUUUCACAUUUCUUCUACCAUCGUUGCUCUCACAUACUAUUCCUCUAUCUACAGCAAAACAUGAAACUGAAAAAGAAAUAGUUAUUAGAACGAUUCAUCUUUUUAUAACUUAUAAAUCUUAUACAUAAACUAUAAACAAAUUAUAUCACUUUAUUGGUUAUUAAAACGAUUCAGAUUAUUUAUUUGUUACACAAAAAGAAAAACAAAAAACUUUUAGAAUCUUGGUAGAAAGAGAUUUCGCUAACGAAAAAGCUUUCAAUGGUACCCUAUAUCCCUUCCAUUUCCAUAUAUUUUUACAAAUACGUUUUUUUUUUUAAAUAGAGGUGCGUUUUUUUUUUGGAACUGCCAUUAAAAAGUUAUAAUAGGAUUUUUGGUUGGAUGUGAAAGACAUCUGUUGUUCAAAAUCAAUUGUUCCCUUACUAUUCUCUAUCUAUUUUUUCUCUAAAUUAGACUCCAAAAGAGAAGAGGGAGGAAGGGGCGGGGGUGUUAAAAAUCACAUAAAAUAUUAAUAAGAACAAUAAGGUUCACUAUGCCAAAUAGAUUGAAGUUGAUAAAAUAAAAUAAAAAAUCAGUCAAUUAAAUCUUUUUAAUGAUUUCUUAUGAGUUCUUGGUACUCUAAGAAGUGUGAAAUUGUUGUAUUUAUCCUAUCACGUUACUUGAAGAUAGAGAUUCAAAAUGACUUGUUUAUUUGUGCUUAUUUAUUCAUGUUAUGUUAGUUAUAAUUAAAAAAAAAAAUUAUAAAUAAUGGGGUUUAAAUUGAUUGAAUUCUUGUUAAGACUUCGUCAUACAUUAGCCAUUCUUCAUAUAGAAGAAAAAAGUAUAAAUUAUUAUGUACCGACCGAACCGAUGAUUAUUCACGAUUCCAUAAUUGAAUCAAUUACAUACUGCAAUUCAUGUUAGGAAUCCCUUUGAAUGUGGAGUGGUUGAGGAACACGUCAAAUAACCUUAUUUGAGGGACGGAAAAUGAAAACACACUCAUGUGAGGGCGACGUCAGCCACAAUAUAAAAUUAAUAAAAAAUUUAAAAAAUUAAUAAAUAAUGUAAAAAAUUAAUAAAAAAAUGUAAAACCCAGCAGGCUUCGAACUCAACGACUCUCGUCGGAGUUCGUCGUCGAGGCUGAUGAUACACCCACAGACAAAUGGGAGAGAUCCAGUCCCUCCUCUGUCGCAGCUGCCGCCACACCCCACACCUCCUUCGCUCCCACGCACUCGCGAUCCCCCUUAUUCCACUCGCGCGCCCAGAUCGCACGAUUUGGGAUUUGUUUUUGGGGGGAAAGAGGAGAGAGAAAAAGAGAUAGAGAGUUUGGUUAGGGAGCGAGGAAGAUCGAGACCGUUGAUGGAGGCUGAGCUGGGUAGGAUGGUGAAGAUGGAGGAAGAGAGGCGGCAGUGGGGUGGUGAAGGAAGGUUUGGGUGCGUUGGGGCGGAGGGAGUGGACAUGGGUUGAUGGGAAGUUUCUGCCGGGGGGAGGGAUUUGGGUGUGGGUGGUUUUUUUUGGUAUUUUGUUUUUCUAAUAUUUAAUUAAUUAAUUUUUUAAUAGAAAGUGGUACAACGAGACUGACACACCUCGAUCUGAAAUGUCCAUUAGGAUUCCGAAUCGAGCUGUGCUGGCCGACACCUGGAAGGUGAUGAUGCCAUAAAGUAUAGUGAUGAGAAAAAUAUGAAUAAAUUUACACCUAAAGUACCUAAAGACAGGAGUGCACUAUGAGUGGGAAUGAACCCAUUUCACACGCGACGUCAGAUCAUAAGUAAAGUACGGUAGUGUGGGUAAGAAUCAUACCUUUAGAGGUAGCCACAUAUACUGAGAUUUGCCAAGAAUCCUUGUUGAUACGAACUUUCAGCAGCUAAAACCUAGAGGGGCACAAAAAUAAGGGUGAGUGGGCCUGAAAAUAAAGUUUUUAAUAAACACCCGUAUAAUUUCUCAAAAAAUAAUAAUACAUACGUAUAUAUAAAUCAUGCUCGAGAGUAGUGAAAACCGAGUAUAUACCAUGUCAAGUACCUCAACAAUAAAAUAAGUAAGCCAUGUGAAAUAAAUCAAUGUAAAAUGAUAUGCUAGCCAGAGUCACCUAACGUGAUCUGUACGGCUGAACCUAUAGCUCAUUAACCAAUUCCUGCACAUGAGUCGAAACCACCUAAUGUGGUAUGUACGACAAACUGAGUGUAAAAAAAUACGCGUUACAAUCACGUGAAGGUUGUGCGAAGUAUCGCAAGUCACCUACGAGUCGGAACCACCUAAUGUGGUCUGUAUAACAGGCUGGCACCUGCCUUGGAGUCAAGGUGAGCGUACAGUGUGGGAGGUGAACGAUCACGUGAAGGCUGACCUUGGCCUCGGGCGGAGCAUUAACACCGGGGUGCAGGAUAAUGAGCACUAAAUGCAUCUAAACAUAACCAUACUGAGUGUGAUCACUAUCAUCAAUAUGUACUCACCUGAAGCUUACCUGGGUGUCGGCAGCAUCAUGAAAUAAUAUGCAUAUCUAUACUAAUGCAUAUACUAAAAUGUAAUGCAAUUGACAUAGUAUUUAAAAAUGCAAAUCCAUUUAAAACAAUUUUUGGGAAAAUAGAAAACAUAUAUACAUAUAUAUAGAAAACCAAAAGCCCACUCAUUGGAGUUUGCGCUACAACUCCCUAGCACAAACAUCAAGGCAUGACGAACGAUCAGCGCCUAAAACAAUUAUCAAAUCAUGCCUUAGAAUUCUUAUCAAUAGAACAUAUAACUUACAUAUCCUAUCGGGAAGAUCCGUGGGUCGGAUUCCUGAUCCGUAAGUUUCUAAUAUCCUUAAAUAUUAUGUACUAUAAUAUAUCAAAGUUUAGUGACGAUCCAACGGUUGGAUCAUUGAUUGCUAUAAUAAUCAAGCGAACCUUAAUGGAACUACAUCAAACGAUGGAAAUUCGUCAAUCGGAUUUCACCAAUAGAAUCAGGGUAUUCAAUUUUAGCCUAGGAAGGUUAGGGGACGUCUCGGCCCACGCGCUCCUGCAGGCGUCGCCGCAGGUGGCGGUUGGCAUCCCGGACUCGCCGGAAAAAUCAACUAUUUCUAAAAAUUUACCAAAUGCUACAUAAAAGUAGAUCUCAGUAAGGGGAACAAUUUCAUACCUGUGGCCAAGUCUAAUUUGGGCAGAAAACACCUGAAAUCCACUUCGAUCUGCCGGAAACCCUUGAAAUGGGUGUUCUUGAUUCAACUCCAAACAAGCUCCGACGCCUCCAAUGUUGAUUGAGCUUUGUUUAUGGGUUCAUGGAGAGUCUACUUUGUGGUGUUAAUUGAAUGAAAACGUUUCAGGUUUAGUGGAUCUCGGCCAAGGGUCCUCACGACACCCAUGGUUCCCCUCGGGAUGUUUUCCCCAAAAUACAACCAAAUUCAUUAUAAUUUUAGGUGGAAAAAGGAAGAGGAGGGUAAUGGAAUGUUUUCCAGGUGAUGGAUGGCAGCGAUUCGUCGGAAAAAUCGCCUGAAAAAGUGUCAUAAGGUGUGGAGGAGCCGAGUUGGGUACGG